UAAAAAAUUACUCCCUUGCUCUUUCUCUCCUUCAGGAUAAUUAUUUAAUGUAAAUGAGUCCUCCUUGCACAGACACUGCCUCUAUUUCUCAGGCUUUUCAUCUUUGCCAGGGCUGACUAAAAAGCCUGCCUAUGGCCGAGAGCUCGGCUCAUGUUUGGGAAGAAAACUGCAAUCUGACGUUGCAAUAGCAGCGGCAUGAAGGGCCCCUUUGUGCUCCUCCUCGCGUGUCUGAAUGCUGCAACCUGCCUGCCCUGGAGGCUCAGCCCCGGUCAGGAGGGCAGGAUGCGCCCCUCUCCUGUCGGAGGCACGGUGCUGCCCGCAGCCCUGCCCCACGGCACCCAGAGGAAAACCCAGCCCAACUGGAACAUCUGCCAGGGCCAGCCCCUACGUUUCCUACCCAGUUUUCCUGCCCGAACAACAGGCCGGAGGAGCUGCUAUCUGCUUAAUUGUGCCUAAAACUGGAGGGUUCCUGAUGCAGUGCCUGCAUGGAAGUGUGCCAGUGGUGGCAUGUCCCCAGCCAGCUGGACCCAGGACCUGUCCAGCCGUACUGGGAUUCAUCAUGGGACCUUUGGAGGAGCAUCAUUCCCUUUCGGUUCCCAAGUGGAAAACAGGAGAAGAGACACCUGGCAUAGACGGGCGGAGGGCACCAGGCACCCAGCUGCAGAGGGUCUGGGCACACUCCGGGGAGUUUUCACUAGUGCCACAGUCAGGUCCUGGUGUUGCAGGACCAGGGCUCACCUCUUAUUGGGGCCCUGGUGUGGAUCAGCCCUGCUGGCUGGUCACAGCCCCAGCCUGA
rnacentral:lncRNA from 1 species